GGACAUGGUCAAUUUACAAAUGGAUAUGAGAUUGAACUUAAAAUAAGGAAUAAACCAAACAUCAUACAAAACAAAGACUUAGAAAACAUGAAUGUGCCUUAGUAUUUUGGUGAUAUAUUUGAUCCAUUAGGCAACCUAACAUUGGUAGUCUUAAUGCAAUGGUAAGCGACAAAAUUGGAUAGAUUACGACUAACAUGAUCAAUGGCUUCAGUAUCAAGGAUAUCCAAUAAGAAAUAUUACUUGGACAAACAUCAUGAGGCUAUUGAAUCUAUUCUUCAGUGAACAUGAGACUAAGUUGAUUAAUAUUAUGACUAGAUGUGCUAGUGCCAAUGUUCAUGAGUAAGGAUGCAAGUUGAUGUUUUUUAGAAAUAAGGUAUUCUCAUUAACUUAUGAAUGUAACACUAAUAGUUAUUUAGCCAACCUCUCUCAUAGCACCUGUUAUGAAAGAAAAUAACUCUGAAAGACUACCUGGGUAUGAAUAGAGAGGAAUCAAUAGCAUCCUGGAAAUAGAGACAUAAAAACCAAG
rnacentral:lncRNA from 1 species